rnacentral:rRNA from 1 species
UACGUAGGUGGCGAGCGUUAUCCGGAAUUAUUGGGCGUAAAGAGCGCGCAGGUGGUUGAUUAAGUCUGAUGUGAAAGCCCACGGCUUAACCGUGGAGGGUCAUUGGAAACUGGUCGACUUGAGUGCAGAAGAGGGAAGUGGAAUUCCAUGUGUAGCGGUGAAAUGCGUAGAGAUAUGGAGGAACACCAGUGGCGAAGGCGACUUUCUGGACUUAUACUGACGCUGAGGAACGAAAGCGUGGAUAGCAAACAGGAUUAGAUA